GGCCGCGGGGCACGCUGGGGGUGGGGCUGAGGGUAGCGCCGGCUUCUGGAGCGCGGCGCCUAAGAAAGUUCUAGAGGGGCGAAGGCGCGGGGAAGCCGCUGAGGUUGUCUGACUGUGAUGUGGGCGGAGUCGCUGCGGAAACCGCGAACGCGAGGCCUGCGAGGAGCGCCUCGGCGGUCAGGAGCCCCUCUGCCUAGAAAUGCCGGCCGGGAGUGACUCUGGUCAGCGCGCCGCACUUGCGGUUUGAAAGUUGGGAUGCGCCAAGAUGGAUGCUCGGUCUCUACUUAAGACAUCAAAAUGGCAACUGACUGGCUUUCAGGCUUGCCUGUGCAUUAUUCUGACAAAGACAUGCGCUGGAGGCCAGGAUGCAGGAUGAAGUCGUUUGUGAUACUUCCGUGUAACAGAGGAAACGUCAUUACUGCCAACAGAUGACAAAGUGAAGAAAGGUCCAGAGAAAGACUGCAGUGACUUGUCGAAUACAGUGAAGCAAAAGGAGAGGAGUGAAUGUAGGGUGCCUAUGCAAAUCCUCACUCUUUACCCUCUUUAUAAUGGAAUAAAA